rnacentral:pre_miRNA from 1 species
GUAGUAUUCCCUUCGUCCCAAAAUUCUGGUCUUACAUUUGUUUAGAUACGGAUGUAUCUAACACUAAAAUGUAACUAGAGACAUCCGUAUUUAGACAAAUUUAAGACAAUAAUUUUGGGACGGAGGGAGUAUAAA